rnacentral:rRNA from 1 species
UACGUAGGUGGCAAGCGUUGUCCGGAUUUAUUGGGCGUAAAGGGAGCGCAGGUGGUUUCUUAAGUCUGAUGUGAAAGCCCACGGCUUAACCGUGGAGGGUCAUUGGAAACUGGUCGACUUGAGUGCAGAAGAGGGAAGUGGAAUUCCAUGUGUAGCGGUGAAAUGCGUAGAGAUAUGGAGGAACACCAGUGGCGAAGGCGGCUUCCUGGUCUGUAACUGACACUGAGGCGCGAAAGCGCGGGGAGCAAACAGGAUUAGAUACCCUGGUA